ACGGUAUUAGAUGAGAGAAUAUUCUAUUAAUGUAUAGAGGAUAAUGAGAAACUGAAACUCAAAGUUGCUGGUAAUGAAGUAUUUAUAACUGAAAUAUUGGAAGAGAAGACACAAGUAGAGGAGAAGAAACAGAUUAUUACUGAAGAUUAUGAGAAACUUAAAGUCAAAGUUACUGAUUUAACUGAACUAUUGGGAGAAAAGGAGGAACAAUAUCUCAAGGAGAAACAGAUCAUUAUUGACGACAAUCAAAAUCUUAUUUCUGAGAAAGACAGAGUUAU